GUUUAUGAGGGUGUGCCCUCAGGAGGAUGGGAUAGAGAUAAAGUGUGAACUUACAAACCUGGCAGAGAGCAGGCACCUGGGAUGCAGUGGGCUGGUGGAAGAAAGAUGGCCUCAGUACUCCCAUCGAAGUAACAGUAUGUUCCAGGAUGCAGUUGGAAAUUAGGUUGGAAUGGAUGGGAUCUAACAGGAACAGCUCUUGGAAGGAUGGGCUAUCUCAUUAGUACCUUACAACUUCCAAUGCAUUGUCACAUAUUGGAGUUGGGACCAGGGUGAGGCAAAAGAGGCCUUUAAGAGUCAUGCAAGUACACUGGCCUCUGUCCUGCCACAUGCCUUAUCUCACGUAAUACCCAUCUGACCCUUGUCUGGCUAUUUAGUUGGUUUCGGGGUGGAGAGAGCAGGGGAGGUAAGGAGCAGAGAUGGGAGAGAGGACAAGCUGGCAGAGACUCUUUCUCUAUGAAAAGCCUUGCCUGAGUCACUCCUUCCCUCACACUUGCAUGUUACUCCAUCCAAACGAAACCAGCCCCUUUUGUGACUUCACAAAAUCUAUACUCACACUCCCUGUCACUGAACUCCAGGUCCAGAAAACUAUGCCCCCUGUGUUUGGCUUUAGGCCAAUGUCGUGAGAUAUUCCACACAGACAUGUGCUGUAUCUUCUUUUAAAUGUUGUGACUUUUGACCCCACAAAUCUAGAAUUUGUCAUCUUUCAAAAAGAGUUCUGUGAUUUCUUUUUUUUUUUUUUUUUUUUUUUGAGGCAAGAGUCAAACUUUUUUUCCUCCUUGAAUUCCUAAGUGCUUGCUGGUAAGAAGGAUGCAGUUUUAAAGAACCCCAGCUUCUCCAUUCCUCACACCUGUAUACUGAUGACUUGGAGACUAACAUCUUCCAUUGCUAGGCUUAGGAAUGAAGUUUUGCCUCUGAAGGGAGUUGUGCAUUUGUAACUGUCAUUCAACCAAUGGUGAAAGAGUCACUGGUCCAGGGCCAAUGUGCUCUGCUGCCUCCGGGAAAGCAUAAGACAUCAGUCUGUGGAAGAGGGCACUGGUGGUUUCCUUCCCUCCAAGAGGACAUAGUUCAGUUGGGUACAUACUGCAUUUCCCAGAUUUUGAAUACACACGUUUUAAGGCUUCCAAAAUCAGGUAUCUUUUGACAUGGUAAUUCCUUUUCCUCCCCCAAUUUUUAAUUUGGUAAAUAUGUACAAUUUAUAUGCUCUUAACAUUUUUAAAUUUGAAAAUCGAGAGCAAAAUCUUAUAGCCUAAACAACAGGAGUGGUAAGAAUUUGGUGGUGGUGAACAACCAGAAAAUCUGGAGUCCCAGCCAUGUCCACUGCUAGGACCCAGAGAAGCCUAGCCUGGACUGGCCCAGCUGCCGGGCUGAUGAGUGUGACCUCUGAGGUGAUAAAAUAACACCCAUGUGGGAGGAAUGGCCAAUAAGAAGGACAUGCCAGCCCCACCUUAGAAAAAGGCAUGAGUAGAAAUGAAGGUGCUAUAUCACUAAAAAUGAUGACAUUGGGCCCCAAGCAUCCGAUUUUCUCUGGCACCUGGCUAAGACAGGCAUAGAGGACAGGGCCGGUUGGGGUGUAGUCAGAGACACCCUCCCUAUUCUGUGGCAUUGCUUUGGCCUGUAGCAAAGUGUUAAAAUGGGACUCUUCCUACUUCAGUUUCAACUGAGUUCCCAAGACAAUCAAUGCCAGCUACUCCCACUUCCAAAAUGCGGAACACAAGAGCUCCUUGAAAAUGAUUUUGUGUACCUUCUCCAGCCACUGUCCACCUCAAGGAAAGUGCAUGGAUUGAUACAGAAGAGGACUCAAAGUUGGAGUUCUAGGAUUGAGUUGUCAACAUUGUGAUCAGUUUUCCUCCCCAUACCAUGGAGAGAGGACAUGCCUUGCUCCUGUCUCUUAAGUCCAGUGACUAGGGCUUACCUGAGACCACACACAGAGCUUGAUAUCUGUCCCUGGAGCUUGUGGAACACAGGAGACUGCCCACUGGUGAGCAGCUGGCUGAAGAGGCCUAUUGUAGAGGACAUUUCCAUUUGGAAGUCACUCCCUCUUGCCUAUAUCAUGGCAAGGGAGUGUGUGGCAGAUUGAGUUUCCUGGAAGAUGACUCUGAGGGGGAAGAUUAGCAUGAGGAAGGUUUAUUAGAGUGCUCUUGGGAUAGCACCCAGAGGAGGAAAGGAGAAGAAGCAGGAUCAGAGAGAAGUGGACCCCCACUGCCCGGAUCUGAAGCUGGGAUGGCCCUUCAGAGUUGUCCCAAGGCAGAGUCAAGGGGCCUUUCUACCCCUGCCAUAGAUUGGUCAUUGUUCCUGGCUGACCUUGGGGAAAGGCUGUGACCUUGAGCAACAGCAUCUGGGGGAAUGUGUCCUUCAUUCCUAAGGGGAGAUCUGGGCAGGGAUCACAGGGUCCAGUAUGGCAUAUGGCAUGCAGGUACCAGAUGUGGAAACUGCAAGAAGAAUAACCACCUAGGGCCAGGCACAGUGGCUCACAUCUGUAAUCCCAGCACUUUGGGAGGCUGAGGCAGGCAGAUAACUUGAGGUCAGGAGUUCGAGACCAGCCUGGCCAACAUGGUGAAACCCUGUUUCUACUAAAAAUACAAAAAUCAGCCAGACAUGGUGGUGGGUGCCUGUAAUCCCAGCUACUCAGGAGGCUGAAGCAGGAGAAUCACUUGAACCUGGGAGGCAGAGGUUGCAGUGAGCCGAGAUCACACCACUGCACUCCAGCCUGGGCAACAGAGACUCCACCUCAAAAAAAAAAAAAAAAAAAGAAUAACCACCUAGAAUUAAAGGAAAAAAAAAUUUAGAGAUGAGGGUCUUGCUAUGUUGCCCAGGCUGGAGUGCAGUGGCUAUUCACAGGUGUGAUCAUGGCACAUUGUAGCCUUGAACUCCUGGGCUCAAGAACUUCUCCUGCUUCAGCCUCCCAAGUAGCCACUGUGCCCAGCAAUUUUUAAGGGGACUCUGUCCACAUGGGCUUCUUCAAAAAGACCUUGGCAGAAAAAGGUGGAGGCCCAACUGGAGAUAGAGGCUGAAGGAGGACCAUAAGUGACCAGCUGAAGGAGAGGCCCCUUUGGACUCUUGAAGACUGCAGUCCCAGGGGACCAAGAGGGUUCCAUACAAGGUGACAAAGGUACCAAAGAGGGAAGCACCAGCCAUGGCCAGGGAAGGUCAAAGAGAUACUUCAUCCAUGCUAGAAACAAAGGAUGGAAGGAGGAUGGAAGGAGGGAGAAAAAGAAGGAGGGAGGAAGGAAGGGAAGGAUCAAGGGAAGGAGAGAAGGAAGGAAGGAAGGAAGGCAGACAGAGAGGCAUCUCCUACUCCUUGUUUUUUAUUCUCCCUCCUACUCUACAGGGGCCAAGGUGAGGCUAGUAAGGGGAUGGGGUAGAGGUGCUAAAUGGGAAAAUGUCUUGGCGUCCUCAAUGCCUAGCAGGGAACCUGGCAUAAAAUGGACACUCAAAAAAUAAUAUACGAAGAAUGAGGAAAAUCUUUGCCCCUUUAUGAUUCCCAGUGACUGUGUAAGGGCCUUCUAUAUCUGCAUCAUUCUGGGGACUGAAUGUGGGUCCUUCCAAAGUCAUGGUGUUAUAGAACAGUGAUACAGGGGUGAUGUCUAAAGCACACACUGAAGUAUCCCCAGACGCACCUGCACAUACACACAUGUACAUGCUCAUGUACCUACCUGGUGCCAAGCUCAGAAAUAGGGUUCUACACAAACCUCACUGGAAACUUUUCAUUUCUCUUCAGUGCAUACCUCAGUCUUUGCCCUUUGAAGAAAACCAGGGAUGCAAUGCUGAGAAUGUGACUGUAAAUACUUCAGAUUUUAAACUCCGAGGAUUUUCUCUUGGUCUCCUCAGAGGGUUGUAGUCUGUGGUGUAUGGAUCCUGGGGUUUCAAGGCCAUCUGGCCCCUGUGUGCUCAAUGAUCUACCCCAGUGGAAGGAAGACGAGAAACAGACAUUUCAAAACCUUUAGGCAAUGGGUCUUGGCCUGAGACAGAGUUUCACUUUGUCGCCCAGGCUGGAGUGCAGUGGCGCAAUCUCCACUCACUGCAACCUCCGCCUCCUGGGUUCAAGUGAUUCUUGUGCCUCAGCCUCUUGAGUAGCAGGGAUUACAGGCACGCACCACCAUACCUGGCUAACUUUUUGUAUUUUUAGUAGAGGCAGGGUUUCACCAUGUUGGCCAGGCUGGUCUCGAAAUCUUGGCCUCAAGUGAUCCACCCACCUCAGCCUCCCAAAGUGCUGGGAUUACAGAUGUGAGCCGCCGCACCCAGCCAGCAUGCCCUAUCUUAAUUGUUAAUUUUCUAUGAUAGCAGAUUAGCUCUCCUAAUUACUUCUAUCUUAGGCUAGAUUAAAAUGCAUCCUGAUCAGAUAGUAAUUUAUGGUGAAGAGAUGCCUUCUGGCCUAAAAACAUGCCAGGGGUAAAUCUCUAAGUAGAUGACCUCAAGGCAGAGAACCCAGAGUGCACUGUGUAUGAAAGAAUUACGGAGUGAAGUUCAUGUGCCCAAGGUUUUAAAGAAUAAUUAAGAGCCUAAUUAUAAGAGUACUGAAAAGAGCCAUACACAAUUCCAAGUUAGCUUUGCCUGUUAAGAGUAGAAAGCUCAUUUUAUAAGUAAUAAAACGAUGGUGUUUACACAAUGCAGCUUUCCAAUUUCCUUUUCAAAUUCCACUGUGCUUGAGGCACCAUCCCCUUUGACUGCAUGCAUUCUGAUCUUUGUUGAAUUAAUUUCAUCUAGUAAUUCUUCUACUCAUUGGCAUCUAUUGACUGUCCAGUCCAUAUGCAUGGAUGUGGUUGAAACUCAGCUGAGAAAGAUGAAUGACACACGGCUCUACCCUCUAAAGCUCACUCUCUCCUAUUGGAGACAGACUUCUAAACAAAAUACUACACCUCCAAAGAGAAAACCCCAUUUUUCUGGGAGCUCAGAAUGGGAAAUGACUCUGCCUGGGGAUGGAGGUGGGAGGGAGGAGAACUUAGGGAAGGCUUCUAGAAAAGGUGACAUUUUGGCUGCAGCUUGAGGGGUGACCAGGAGUUUGCUAGUUAGAACAGGGAAGGAAGAGCAUUCUGGGUUGAGAAUUGGGACAGAGUCUUCUCUGAUAAUUCGCAAAGCAAAUGUCAGGUCAUACAGGAGCAACUCAAAAGACCUUUUGCAGAGAUUUAGUUAUUAUUGCCCAUGCUAGACUAUCAACUGCUUCUGACUUUGUGCAGUACUUAGACCACCUAAGUUAGUGCCUGAUAGGGUAUUUUGAGGAUGACAGUAAUGCCUAUGCUAGAGAUGAGUGGGAUAUGACCCUCAUCUUUUAGUCAUGACAUUCCAGCUCUCCUACCUUGGGUUUGUUCCUAAUAAUUAAGUGGCCAUCACAGCAGUAGUGAGUAUUCUUCUGCAAACUCCAGGAGCAUCUGUGGAACCGAGUGCAGAUGCCUUUGACCUGUGCAGCAGUUGACUCAGGUUACCAGGCACCUUUUUCAAGUUCUUCCCAAGAAGAUGUAUCUUUCUUGUUCAGCCUAAUUUUUAUAAAACUUUAAUGUUCUCUUAAAACUGAAAUUUUGCACAGUAGGCAUUAGCAUCAGAGCAACAUUCCCAUGAGUUCUGGAAUCUCCUGGAGUACAUUACUCUAAGCAAAGAGCCAAUUAUUGCAGCCCUGAAGUUGGAGGGGACACUGAUUAGUAUCUGUGGCCUAGAAGUACAGAUGGAUGGCUGUGGAGGCCACAGCAUCUUGAGGAUUUUUUUUUUUUUGAAACGGAGUCUCAUUCUGUCGCCCAGGCUGGAGUAUAGUGGCGUGAUCUCUGCUCAACGCAGAGGAUGUUAAAUGGAGUCAAAAGCAAAUCAGACUCCCUCAUGGCCCAACUCAGGAGUUAUUCUUAGGCAUAGGGAACAUUAGAGAGACCUCUAGAGUUGGGAAGAGUGGGCCUAGUGGGGAGUCCUUGGGCCCUGCAAGUUUCCACUCAAUUUCUCACCCUGGGCACUGCCUCCACCUGUUCUCUGUACCUAUUCCUUCUCUUCUAUUUCUCCUCUACAAUUCUUCUUUUAUUUCCCCAUUCCUCUUUCUCGUAAAUAUAUCUUUUUUUUCCCAGAAGUUUCUACUGAGUUUGAAGGUUUCAAUGACCAUGUUGAUUACAGAGAUAGGAAGGCUAUUUCCAUCACUGUCUUUGGAUGAGAGACAGCAGAGGCUCCUCUCUGCAGGCCUGGCCAGACUGCUUAUGAGGAGCUGGAGGGAAAGAUGAACGGCUUUAAGUCACUCAGGCCAGUACCCAAGAACCCAACACUGUGCUGGGCCUUGGGGUGGUUCUGGGGUAGCGUGAGGGUAAGGAAUGCUAGAGAGGUAUGGCAGAGAGAACCCGAGAGAAGGCGUUAGGACAUGCAAUGAGGUCCCAUUUCCCACUGAUUCCUAACUUUAUUUUUCUGCCAAAUUAAAGGAAACAUAUCUUCCUCAUAUGGUGGAGAAGUAACUGAGACAUAAGAUAAGAAAAGUCUAAAGCCCAAUAUAAAUAUAAGGGUUUGAACUCAUCUGACCUGGGUCUGUGUGGGCUAAGCUGCUCCAAGCUGGGCUAGACAUGGGAUAGGAAGCAGUUUAACUUGCCCUUUUCUCCUGUGGGCCUAGAAGUCCCUGGAUUAGAUGAUGCUGUGGAGCCCACUGUGGGAGAAGGGGAGGGGAGAAGAGCAUGGCUUGAAGUCUGAAUCCUGGAGCCCAGGUUCAGGUCUCCAUCAACCUGAACAACAUCUCUGAGUCCCCACUUCCUCAUCUGCAAGAUGAGAAUUCUAAUUCCACCUCACACACUUAGGGAUAGAAUCAAAUGCAAUACUAAGCCCAAAGUCACUGUAUAAAGUACAAUACAAAUGUGGUUAUUAAUAUCCUAUCAUUAAUAUCUUGGUGUUUCUUAUAGCAUAAUGGAUUUCCAAAGGGAGAGCAUUAGCAAGAUAAAAUAGCCUCAGAAGGAACCAAAGAAACUAAAUUUUGUACACUAAGGUAGUAUAAAUUCAGUACAUUUUAAAGCUUAGUUUCUAUUUAAGAUCAUUUAAAAAUCAGUUUCUAUUAAAAUUCAGAAGCAUUUCUAAGUGCUGGGAAAGACUCUCUCCCUGCUCUUUGCCAUUGCUAAAUUAGCCUGCCUCUGGAGGAGAAGGCCCUUUUCCCUUCCUGCCCCACUAGUGCAGGACUCUUUGGGUGAACUCCCUCCCCUUGCCCCUGAGCAGUUGGGUGGGAGUGUGGUAAGCCUCUGGUUAUACUUUAAAAAUAGUGUUGAGAGAGAGGCAGGCAGGCAGGGAGGCUCACCGGACAGGAAGGACAGGUUUUCCUGCCUUCCCUCCCCACCUGCCCCACACCCAGUCACUUUGUCACCCCAGGGGAGCUGUCAGCCCAGCCCCACAAAUUAGAGGGUGCUGCAUGGCCCUGGCCCCACACAGUGUUUCCAUGAGAACCUCUCCUUCCCCUGAUUUUCCCUUUUCUCCUGGGGCCUCCUCGCACGUAGAAAGAAACCCCUGCUCCUAGCCCUGUUCCUGUAUCUAGACCCUGGCAGCCUCAGUCACUCAUCCAGACAUUAGCUAGGAGCUGGCAGUGCCGAGAAUGGCUCUGGAGGGGAGGACAGGGGGCCAGGGUUGGCACCUGGGCCACUCGGGCAAGCCUGAGAUGUGGGUGCAGGCUUUGCUUGGUGCUCCCAGUGGCCCUGGCCUGGCCUCUCCUAGGAUCCAGAGGGAUCCUGGACCCUGGAAGGGUCCCAGGCCCCAGGAAGGGAAACAGUCAGACCUCUGGCUUCCCCGUGGUGGCAUCUGAACCCAUGGCAUUGCCCUCUUCCAGACAUGCCUUGGAUCCCUUGACUCUGCCUCACCCUUAACCCCUGGUCAGCUCCUUCCCAGUGGCCAGCACUACCCCUCCACUGGGCGCAGACAUGGCUGCAUCUUGCUCGAAAAUUAUUCAUAGGGAUGCAUACCUCCUGCCUGUCCUGCCAGACCCCCCACAGACCUCAAUUAAUGCAGCCCAGCUGAUUGAGCAUUUGUCUUCUGAUGGAUUGAAUGACAAACCAGCCCUAUGAGGUCUCAGCUUGUCCUCCAUCAUCUCUGGCCUGAGGAGUUACCAGGGUUUUGGGAGCUCUGGGCUUCAUGGAAAGAGAAAAAAAAGGUACAGUAAAUGCUCUGGGACUGUCCAAGCCUGAGGACCGGAGAGCACGGCGUCUCGGAAUCAGACUGACGUGGUCGGCCUCCCAGCUCUGUAAUUCAUCCUAUAGCCUUGGACAAAUCCAUUAACUUUUCUUGAUAUAAAUUUCCUUAUCUGGGGCCGGGCACGGGGGCUCACGCCUGUAAUCCCAGCACUUUGGGAGGCUGAGGCAGGCGGAUCAUGAGGUAGGGAGAUCAAGGCCAUCCUGGCUAACGUGGUGAAACCCCGUCUCUACCAAAAAUACAAAAAAAUUAGCCGGGCGUGGUGGUGGGCGCCUGUAGUCCCAGCUACUCCAGGAGGCUGAGGCAGGAGAAUGGCGUGAACCCAGGAGGCGGAGCUUGCAGUGAGCUGAGAUCGCGCCACUAUACUCCAGCCUGGGCGACAGAGUGAGACUCCAUCUCAAAAAAAAAAAAAAAAAAAAAAAAUUCCUUAUCUGUAAAAUGGGGAUGAAGUUACCCACUUCAGAGGGUGCUGUAAGGAUUAAAUGAUCUCCAAGGCCUCUACAGUGUUCAGACACACAAAUCACCUACAGCACCACUCAAAGUGUAUGUGCAGAUGGGGUCUGGCUUCUUGCAUUUUGUUGUUGUUGUUUAGUUGAUUGUUUUCUGCAUUGUGCAUGUGUGUGGUUAAACAAAAUGCCCUAUCACUGAGAUCUGGCCUGCAGGGCCAGGGCUGGACACAGAUAACACUGCUGGAGGAACACUAAAACCUUUCUUGAUGUGCCACAGGCUUUUAUUUCUCUUAUUUCUCACUAAGGACAGGAAAGCUUUCAUCAGCAACAUCAACAACAACACAACAAACACGUGGACACCUCCCCAGGGGUUUCUGUUGAUCCUGAAUCCUCCCACCCACCCACCCCCACCAAUUGCCUUAGAGAUGUGGGGCCACCAGGCUUGAAGCUCAUCUGACUUCCAGAGGUUGAGGAGUGAGAAUUCCUUGCACCAGGGGCUGCCUCAGCAGUGAAGCCACGGGAAAUAAUCUUCACUCUGUCAGUGGGGCUGCUGGUGACCAGCAACAUCCACUUAAAAGCUGUCGAUCAGGGCCUCUGAGCAUUCCUGGCCUGGGAAUGGAGGGGAAGAAUCUGGCUAGCUCUAGGGUUACACAGCUGAGUCUGGCCUCAUUAACCAAAUUAGCUAACCAGCCGCUGUGCAAGCGACGUCUCAGAAGCCCCAAUGUUCAUGGAGGAAAUUAACUCAAAUUAUUAUUAUACACACCCCACAUAAUCAAUUGCAUUUAAGCAGGUGUCCAUAUACAAAGGAGGAGGGAAAUCACCACAGACUUAGCUUUUGUAUAGCCCUUUGUUCUUUAAAAGUAACUUUUUAAACAGUCUAUCACUGAUUCCUACCUCGUUUCUCUGACAUCAACAACACAGAUGUUACUAUCAGCAUUUAGUUAGAGACUAAGUGGCGUAUCCAAGAUCACACAGCAUAUUGAGGGAUCCAGGGCUCCUCUCUCUUAGUCCAUUUUUCUUUUUUGUUUGGUUUUCUCUUCUCUCAUAGGCUAUUUUGUACACAUCAGCCAGAGUCAUCUUUUAAACCUCAAAUGAGACCAUGUCACUCCUGGCUCACACUCUCUGUGGCUUCCCAAUAGAGAGAGCACAGUCCAGGUGGCUCACCUUCUUUAAGCUGCUUUCCUCCCCAUCUCUCACACCAGGCUGCCAUCAUGCUUCUCCCCCACUGACUCUCCACAGCCUGGCUCCUUCUCAAUCCAGGGCUUCCUUGUCCUCCAAAUCACUCUGUCCCACUGCCUGCUUUUUGCUCUCUGGAAUCAUCUCAUUUAUCUGUUUACGUGUUUGUUUCCUGCCUCCCAUCAGCAGAUCAUCAAUUCCAUGGCGUCAGGGACUUUGUUUUGUUGAUGCUGCAUCCCCAGUACCUAGAUUAGUACCUGGCACUUAGAGGGUAAUUAAUGAAGAGCUUUUUGAAUGAAUGGAUAUUGCACUGUAUUGAUAAAAGAAAGAGAGAAAAGUCCUGGGAGAGAGUGAAGGAAAAGAAGUUAUUAAUGAUGGGAAACAAUAUGCCCAAUAUGAGUGAAUAGCUGCUAUGAGAGAUUGCACAAGCUCUGCUGGGUCACCCCGUCCCCACUGAUCUAAGACUCCUGAGCCCUAGGCUCACUCCCCACCUCCAAUCUGACCAACAAGCCAAAGCCAGCAGUAACUCCAGAGCGGACUUUGACUCUAAAUGUGGCCUUAACCCUAGGCCUGACUGUGUAAACAACACCUUCUUCUAACUUUAAUCCUGUCCCUAAUAACCACCUUAACUUGGCACUCUAAUCUCAAUGACAAACCCAAAUCCAUAAGCACAGUCCCCUCUACUCGAUGGACCAAUUCUAGAUAUAAGAUCCAGCAGGUCAGACUGUCAUCCCAGUCCUGCCACACUGAACCUUAACUAGAUCUGCAUCAGUUUCCCUGAGUGGAAACUGAUGGGGGAGGUAUGGACUAAAAUUGGAGACACUGAAAGCUAGAAAAGACCUUAGAGAUCAUCUAAUUUCUUCCCUUUGGGGAUAAUAUACAAUGAAUACAUGCCAUCAUGUAUUUUCUAUGUGUCCCGUUGGUUCUUUCUUUCCUUUUUCUUGCCAUAUUUUGGAUCAAUCAAGUAUUAGUAUUCCAUUUUGCCUCCUCCAUUUGCAUUUUAGCUAAAUCUCUUUGUUUAACUUUUGUGUUUAUUUUAGGGGUUAUAAUAGGUAUCUUAAACUUUUCAUAGUCUACAUUGAAAUCACAUGAAAGAAUUUAAACCAGUGUCAUUCCCUUUUAUAACCCCCAUCUUUUGUUCUACUGUUAUCGUAUACCUAAGUACUGUGUAUGUCAUAAGCCCCACUAUUAUUGUUGUUGUUGUUAUUGCUUUAGAUAAUUAUGUCUUAAAGACAUUAAGAAUUGAAUAGAGUAUGUUUUUUAAAGUUACCGCUGUAUUUAAUAAUUUCUGAUGCUCUUCAUUCAUUUCUGUAGGUCAUGUUUCUGUUUUAUUUGCCUUCAACCUGCAGAACUUCGCAAUUCUCUUCCCCCUCCAGGGACACUGCAGCUUUUCUACCCUUCCAUUGCGGCUUCCAUACAGCCUCCAAAACCUGCAAGUUUCCAACCAUUUCCCACAGUGCAGUUAAAUCCCAAGAUAAAUUUUUAGGCAUUUCCAAACUCCCUAAGGACAGGCCCAGGUGGAGCCAUGAAAGAGAAGAGAGGGCAGGUAACCAGGAGCCUCUCCUCUUCCUCCUUCCUACGUCACCUUCCCUAUACUCCCCAAAGGGGACCUCUCUGACACUGCAAUGCAAGAUUAAACUACUGGAUGAUGAUGAUGAUGAUGAUGAUGAUUUACCUCCUUUCCUUCCUGGGCCAGGGAGGAGAGCAUCAAGCUCUUUGCAGCAGCAGUCUGAUCCCCUUCAGUUAUCCUCAGGUAUUUACUAAGCCCCCUCCUCAGUGCAGCCCCUCUACUAGGGGAAGAGAAAGGCAGAAGUGGA
rnacentral:lncRNA from 1 species